GAUAGUGUGGCCGAUUAGUCUAUGGCGCUGGUUUUAGGCACCAGUCUCUUCGGAGCCAAGGGUUCGAAUCCCUUCACUGUCA
rfam:Daphnia pulex DAPPTscaffold_823_Cont11161, whole genome shotgun sequence.